GAUGAACGCUAGCUACAGGCUUAACACAUGCAAGUCGAGGGGCAUCAGGAAGAAAGCUUGCUUUCUUUGCUGGCGACCGGCGCACGGGUGAGUAACACGUAUCCAACCUGCCCUUUACUCGGGGAUAGCCUUUCGAAAGAAAGAUUAAUACCCGAUAGCAUAAUGAUUCCGCAUGGUUUCAUUAUUAAAGGAUUCCGGUAAAGGAUGGGGAUGCGUUCCAUUAGGUUGUUGGUGAGGUAACGGCUCACCAAGCCUUCGAUGGAUAGGGGUUCUGAGAGGAAGGUCCCCCACAUUGGAGCUGAGACACGGUCCAAACUCCUACGGGAGGCAGCAGUGAGGAAUAUUGGUCAAUGGGCGCUAGCCUGAACCAGCCAAGUAGCGUGAAGGAUGAAGGCUCUAUGGGUCGUAAACUUCUUUUAUAUAAGAAUAAAGUGCAGUAUGUAUACUGUUUUGUAUGUAUUAUAUGAAUAAGGAUCGGCUAACUCCGUGCCAGCAGCCGCGGUAAUACGGAGGAUCCGAGCGUUAUCCGGAUUUAUUGGGUUUAAAGGGAGCGUAGGUGGACUGGUAAGUCAGUUGUGAAAGUUUGCGGCUCAACCGUAAAAUUGCAGUUGAUACUGUCAGUCUUGAGUACAGUAGAGGUGGGCGGAAUUCGUGGUGUAGCGGUGAAAUGCUUAGAUAUCACGAAGAACUCCGAUUGCGAAGGCAGCUCACUGGACUGCAACUGACACUGAUGCUCGAAAGUGUGGGUAUCAAACCAGG
rnacentral:rRNA from 1 species